UUUGAUCUGAGUUUUCUCUAAGUGGUUGUGUUUGUGCACUUCCUACCUGAGAUUACUUGGAAUCAAACCUUGCGGGGACCUUCAGGUGCCGUUUGAUUCCGUGAUCCCUCUAGCUUUGCUUGGUUGUUGUUCAAGACUUCUAAGCACCCUCAACAUGGUGGAUACACCGCUGGAGCUAAUGCAUAGGACGUUCGUGACACGCUAGGGUGGACUUGGGCCUUAGUGACGAUAAAAUGGAACUAGACUAGUUAAAACUUGUUAUGUACUCUUUGUUUCAGUUAUUUUAAGACAAUGUAACUCGUUUGUUUGAUUCAAUAAAAUAUAAUU
rnacentral:lncRNA from 1 species